rnacentral:lncRNA from 1 species
GUCUUCACCCGGGAAAUGGGGAGAGAGACUGUGGGGCAGCUGGCACCACAUACGUGCCUUACGGGUGGGGUGUGGGGACUUAGGAGGGCUUAGCACCCAGAGCAUUAGCCCAGGGCCUGGCCCCUGGUGGCUUCUCCCGGCUGCUGGCUGCUUGGCAGGGCUGGAGGGGAGGAGACCCACAGUUUCGGGCUUGAGUCACCACCCUCCUGGCCAGGCUUCGGCGGCACUGACUCAGCGCCUGCGUGAGCUGGAUGCUGCCUGGAAAGCUAAUCAGCCUCAGAGGGGGGAGAGGAGAGGAGAAGAAAUGGUGGUAGAGAAAGAAAGGCAAGGGGAGCUGUGCAGAACCACCCGGAAGCUGGAGAGUUCAACGCGGAGAACCUGCUCUGUGCCAGGCCCCCACCUGGGAGGUUUUUUCUGCAAACAAUUGUGCGUGAAAUCAGGACCCAGAUGCUGCAGAACUGAAGUGGGAAGGGACUGACCACCAGUGGGCAAAAGGCCGAAGAGGAUAAGAGUUAUAUAGUAACUCAGAGCUCAGUAACAUCAGCAUUUUGGAAGUAGGAUAGGAAGAAAGUCUCAUCACAACCACGGCAAAGAGUAUCCCAAGGCAGGCUCAUUUUACUCCAAUUACCA